CUUAUGAAUUUCACUGAAUGUAUUUCAAUGGAACGUUUUUGAAUGACUCCCAAUCUAAAAGAAUGAAGUUUACUCCCAUUCGCAUGAAUGGUUUCCAUUGUUCUUUUUCAAUGUCACUUGUCUCAUAUUUUAGGAUUAAUGAACAAGUAAAUAGUUAAUAAUAAAGAUCCUGAAUUGCUGCAUAUGAGAGUCGCUGUUACACGUUGUUCUGUGAACAAAUAUAGAUGAUCUAUUCUAUUUAACAGGUCUCAGUCCUUCAGUGGGUCUGAAGUAAGCCGGUUUCUUGUUGUCCAAGAAAGAUGGAGUUGUUUUCGAAUAAUUCUGAUAAACCAGAAAGAAAUACAGCUUCUUUUGGUGCACUGCAUUUUAGCUUAGCAUUGAUUGGUCUGGAGAAGUUAAUGGAUCGGGAAUUUUCAUGCCCAUGUAACCCUGGGUUUAACAUGGUGCUGAUCAGCUUCAUCUUUCUUGGACCUGCUCUUCUAGCUCUGACUAUGAUGAUGUUCAUCCAAAGACCCUGCAGACGUUCAUCCUCUCAUUGUGCUGGGAUAUUUUUAUUUAGUCUGAUUCCAUCUGCAUUGUGGAUGUUUCUGUUGCUGUUUGAGGGUGAAUAUGUUGCGUGUGGCAUGGCACACUGGGAAGGAGAUUACAUCUUGGAUGAAGAGCUCCAGAUUAAAUGGUGCAAACCCACGGGAAUAAGGGACGGCAAAGUGAAUGGAACAAAACUGCUGGAACUGACCGAAAAAAUCAUUUUCUACUCAAGAUUUUCAUCUUUAGUUCUGCUCACAUUCCUCGCCGUUGUUGUCAUUGCUGCUGUGAGCUUUCAGGAUUGUAGAACAAGAUGUCUGGAGCAUCAGGAAAAGCGGGUUAAACCAGCACAGUUUCCAGAGUCAUCCAUCUACGGUUCAGAGGUUGAACUACAGCGAGCUGCCUGAACUCAUCAGGGUGAUCUGCUUACAAAUCCACCUAGAUUAAGACUGUAACAGGGAACAACUUGAAUCAUGGGUCAUUUCUAGGGUGACGUCUGCUGAUUUGACAAGCUAUCUGGAUUUACUGCAUUUGUACCUGAUGAAUUGUUUUCUAACACAUCUUUGUGGUUUGCUGUAUUGUCUUAGUGUAACCUUAUAUAUAUACGAUCAAUUGGAUUCAACCUCCUAGCUGUGUUAAAUAUAAAAUACAUAAUAAUAGUGUGGAUGUGAAAUAUAAUAAUUAAAAACAAUGUAAACCCAAAGGUUGUUUUAAAAUAUAUAAUGUCUUAAUGUUACUCACAAAGGAAUUUGACUCACUCAAAACUCAAAAUUGUACUUUCUAAAUGGUUUAAAAUGCUGUUUAAUAUAUUGAAUUAUUUUAAACUUGGCAAAAAACCAUUUGUAUCGUAUGUCUGUAGAAAAGAGUAAAAUUAAGGUGAAACUACAAUCUUUCACAGCUAUGACUGAAAUGCAUUUUAUAUUUUUUUUAUCAAUUUAACCUUCUCCUCUAGCAUUUUAAUUCACAUGGUAAACAAGUUUUAACAAACAUUAACAAAUCUAUAACACACACACACAACAUCAAACUGUUAACCAUCUCAAAGAAGUAAUAAACUCAUCAAAAAUGCAAAUGCAUUUCAGCUUUUUUCCAAGAGCAUGAAUUCUCAUGCUGCCUUUUCAAAUAGUAAAUUCUCAAAAUACUCAGGGUGGCAAUAGCUCCUGAAUUUAGAUAGAAAUCUGAAGCCUGUUGUUGCACAAUGUGAUGUUUAUACCUGUUUGCUUCUCCUCAGAUCCUGAAUGAUCAAAUCAGUAUUAGUAAUUGAGACUGACAGAAUCGACUGACCAGUCGUAAGUACUGGAAGAGUGAAAGUAAAAAUGUGGAAAAAAGGAAAAAGAACAAACAACACUUACCUGUUUGCGACACUAUUAACACCUGUAUGAGUAAGUUUAAAAAAAAACACUCUUUUACUCUGCUAUUGUAUCACCUAUACUGAAUGUUAAAUGAUUCUUAUUCUUUUCAUUGAAAACUGGCGGAAGAAACAACAGAUAUUUCAAACUUUAAAAGAGGGACAGCCGAAAUUACAUGAGACAGAAUUCGUGCAGCUUUGAAGAUGCAACUAAAAAGUUUUUUUUUAAAGCAGCAGUUAAACUGAUUUCCAAGAAAAUACCAUCAACUCUGUUACACUGAGAUUUAUGGUGGUGGGUUUGCAGGCAUUUACUGAUGUCCAGUUCUCAUGCCCAUGCAAAGCAAAGUCUGAGAAUCGUUUUCUAGAUUGAAUGUGUCAGAAGACAAUGACACAUUCAUUUUCAAAUGACCAAAUGCAAUGCAAUUGCUUUGUUUUUAACAUAUAGGCGUCAUAUAUAUGGCACGUCUUGUUACUUGUAAGGAUUUUGUCUUUGCGUUCUUUUGCUCUUUUUACUGUGUAAACAUUCUUAAAGAACAGGAAUAUAUGGUUACAUUUAAAGCAUUUCAUCUAGAUGAACAGCAACAGCAUAGCGAUCAUAUUUACUUUGUAAGUUAAUUUAUGUCCUUUUGCUUAUGCCAAAUUGUCAUUUUUCAGAAUGGAUUUGUCUUGCAAAUAAGGCAUGCAAAAAUGCAUUUAUCCAAAUGUUGCUUCAUUUUUAG
ensembl:lncRNA